GCUUAACACAUGCAAGUCGAGGGGCAGCAUUUCAGUUUGCUUGCAAACUGGAGAUGGCGACCGGCGCACGGGUGAGUAACACGUAUCCAACCUGCCGAUAACUCGGGGAUAGCCUUUCGAAAGAAAGAUUAAUACCCGAUGGUAUAAUCAGACCGCAUGGUCUUGUUAUUAAAGAAUUUCGGUUAUCGAUGGGGAUGCGUUCCAUUAGGCAGUUGGUGAGGUAACGGCUCACCAAACCUUCGAUGGAUAGGGGUUCUGAGAGGAAGGUCCCCCACAUUGGAACUGAGACACGGUCCAAACUCCUACGGGAGGCAGCAGUGAGGAAUAUUGGUCAAUGGGCGCAGGCCUGAACCAGCCAAGUAGCGUGAAGGAUGACUGCCCUAUGGGUUGUAAACUUCUUUUAUAUGGGAAUAAAGUUUUCCACGUGUGGAAUUUUGUAUGUACCAUAUGAAUAAGGAUCGGCUAACUCCGUGCCAGCAGCCGCGGUAAUACGGAGGAUCCGAGCGUUAUCCGGAUUUAUUGGGUUUAAAGGGAGCGUAGGUGGACAGUUAAGUCAGUUGUGAAAGUUUGCGGCUCAACCGUAAAAUUGCAGUUGAUACUGGCUGUCUUGAGUACAGUAGAGGUGGGCGGAAUUCGUGGUGUAGCGGUGAAAUGCUUAGAUAUCACGAAGAACUCCGAUUGCGAAGGCAGCUCACUGGACUGCAACUGACACUGAUGCUCGAAAGUGUGGGUAUCAAACAGGAUUAGAUACCCUGGUAGUCCACACAGUAAACGAUGAAUACUCGCUGUUUGCGAUAUACAGUAAGCGGCCAAGCGAAAGCAUUAAGUAUUCCACCUGGGGAGUACGCCGGCAACGGUGAAACUCAAAGGAAUUGACGGGGGCCCGCACAAGCGGAGGAACAUGUGGUUUAAUUCGAUGAUACGCGAGGAACCUUACCCGGGCUUAAAUUGCAUUUGAAUAUAUUGGAAACAGUAUAGCCGUAAGGCAAAUGUGAAGGUGCUGCAUGGUUGUCGUCAGCUCGUGCCGUGAGGUGUCGGCUUAAGUGCCAUAACGAGCGCAACCCUUAUCUUUAGUUACUAACAGGUCAUGCUGAGGACUCUAGAGAGACUGCCGUCGUAAGAUGUGAGGAAGGUGGGGAUGACGUCAAAUCAGCACGGCCCUUACGUCCGGGGCUACACACGUGUUACAAUGGGGGGUACAGAAGGCAGCUACCUGGUGACAGGAUGCUAAUCCCAAAAGCCUCUCUCAGUUCGGAUCGAAGUCUGCAACCCGACUUCGUGAAGCUGGAUUCGCUAGUAAUCGCGCAUCAGCCAUGGCGCGGUGAAUACGUUCCCGGGCCUUGUACACACCGCCCGUCAAGCCAUGAAAGCCGGGGGUACCUGAAGUACGUAACCGCAAGGAGCGUCCUAGGGUAAAACUGGUAAUUGGGGCUAAGU
rnacentral:rRNA from 1 species